GCUUGCUCUUAUGAAGUUAGCGGCGGACGGGUGAGUAACACGUGGGUAACCUGCCCAUAAGACUGGGAUAACUCCGGGAAACCGGGGCUAAUACCGGAUAACAUUUUGAACCGCAUGGUUCGAAAUUGAAAGGCGGCUUCGGCUGUCACUUAUGGAUGGACCCGCGUCGCAUUAGCUAGUUGGUGAGGUAACGGCUCACCAAGGCAACGAUGCGUAGCCGACCUGAGAGGGUGAUCGGCCACACUGGGACUGAGACACGGCCCAGACUCCUACGGGAGGCAGCAGUAGGGAAUCUUCCGCAAUGGACGAAAGUCUGACGGAGCAACGCCGCGUGAGUGAUGAAGGCUUUCGGGUCGUAAAACUCUGUUGUUAGGGAAGAACAAGUGCUAGUUGAAUAAGCUGGCACCUUGACGGUACCUAACCAGAAAGCCACGGCUAACUACGUGCCAGCAGCCGCGGUAAUACGUAGGUGGCAAGCGUUAUCCGGAAUUAUUGGGCGUAAAGCGCGCGCAGGUGGUUUCUUAAGUCUGAUGUGAAAGCCCACGGCUCAACCGUGGAGGGUCAUUGGAAACUGGGAGACUUGAGUGCAGAAGAGGAAAGUGGAAUUCCAUGUGUAGCGGUGAAAUGCGUAGAGAUAUGGAGGAACACCAGUGGC
rnacentral:rRNA from 1 species